CCUACGGGGGGCUGCAGUGGGGAAUAUUGGACAAUGGGGGCAACCCUGAUCCAGCCAUGCCGCGUGUGUGAAGAAGGCCCUCGGGUUGUAAAGCACUUUCAGUGAGGAAGAACGCCUGGUGGUUAAUACCCAUCAGGAAAGACAUCACUCACAGAAGAAGCACCGGCUAACUCCGUGCCAGCAGCCGCGGUAAUACGGAGGGUGCGAGCGUUAAUCGGAAUUACUGGGCGUAAAGCGCGCGUAGGUGGCUUGAUAAGCUGGUUGUGAAAGCCCCGGGCUCAACCUGGGAACGGCAUCCGGAACUGUCAAGCUAGAGUGCAGGAGAGGAAGGUAGAAUUCCCGGUGUAGCGGUGAAAUGCGUAGAGAUCGGGAGGAAUACCAGUGGCGAAGGCGGCCUUCUGGACUGACACUGACACUGAGGUGCGAAAGCGUGGGUAGCAAACAGGAUUAGAUACCCCAGUAGUC
rnacentral:rRNA from 1 species